GAUGAACGCUGGCGACAUGCUUAACACAUGCAAGUCGAGGGGAAACGGCAUUAAGUGCUUGCACUUUUUGGACGUCGACAGGCGCACGGGAGAGGAACGCAUAUCCCACAUUCCCAUGAGUAAGCGAUAACCUACGGAAGGUCAGACCAAUAACUUAUGGGCUUCACUGGCGUCAUCGGAGGUGAGGGACAGAUGUUUCGGUUGUGGAUGGGGAUGCGUCUGAUUAGCUUGUUGGCAGGGUAACGGCCCACCAAGGCAACGAUCAGUAGGUGUUCUGAGAGUAAGGUCCCUCACAUUGGAACUGCGACACGGUCCAAACUCCUACGGGACGCAGCAGUGUGGAAUAUUGGUCAAUGGGCUAGAGCCUGAACCAGCCAAGUAGCGUGCAGGAUUACGGCCCUAUGGGUUGUAAACUGCUUUUGUAUGGGGAGAAAGUCAAUCACUUGUGAUUGUUUGCAGGUACCAUACGAAUAAGGCCCGGCUAACUCCGUG
rnacentral:rRNA from 1 species